GCACAGUAAAGUGCGUACUGAAAGCAAAAGUUUUCCAUGCCAGAACUCCAAGACGUACACCACUACUUGGCUCCAACAGGCUCAAAAUCAUAUAAAUAAGCCACUGGCGUUUUGGGAUUCUGCUCUGUAGAGUGAUGAAAUAAAACUGGGACUUUUCCGCACAAUGGAUCAGCAGUAUGUCUGGAGGAAGAAGAAUGUGUACACUGAAAAGAACACCCCAGUGAGCAAUUGAUGGCAACCCACCAACGUUUUGCUGCUGGCGGGCCGCAGGAGGCUAUAAUGUCCUACAGCCAGCCGUCCACCAGCUUUUGGUCAUGACGUGUUCUGUAGUUUUGUUCCCGGAGGAGGAUGACUGUGUGUGGCAAUAGUUCCACACCUGUGGCUCAAAGGGGGAGUUUGCUACUGGUGACCACACAGCAUCACCAGCCGGAAGUCCUUCAGCCACGACAAGUUUGCCAGAACUUGUUUACCACCUAAAGAUACCUGGGAGGCUGUCCUUUAUGAGCUCAUCAAGCAUGCAGACACGUGAGAGACCGGACGUGUAUAUCGCCAGAGAAGCGAAAAUCGUUCCAGCGUGGGCCCCUCCCACCCCAAGGACGCAAAUCUACACCACAACACCCUGUGGAUUGCAGCCCUGGAACAAGCACAGUACUCCAAGGCACCAGGGAGGUACUCCACGCCGCCAUGAAGAGGAGCACUACAUAGGUAAGUGUGUUCAUUCACUUAACCCAGAUGCUUAACUUGUUAUUAAAGCAUGUUGCUUCCAGUUUUAUUUGUCUGUUUAAAUUUAAUUUUAAGGGCAAGAAGGCAGAGGUAGGGGGAAGUUUUAGCUCUGCACAUGAAGGUAUGAAUGAACAUUUUGGCGGACACUGCGGUUUGAGUUCUGAUUGUAAAAUUACCCGAUAUUUAGGACUGAUAAUAAUUAACUGUCUCUCUUUACUUUCAGAUCAUUUGGAGAAGAUCAAGUGGCUGACUGAAGAGAAGGUCGAGCUGAGGGCACAGCUGGCUCUACAAUCAGGAAGAAUCCUUCCAACCGGGAUGCCACUGACGAGGCUGUUCAGAACCAGGUCCCCAGGUACCAGAAAGGGGCAGUUGACCGUGCAGGUGGGAGAAGACGUCACGGCUGUACCAGGGACCUGCCAUGAAUAUGAAUGACAUCUCCAGCACAACCAAUAUUGCUGCUAAUCUAUGUUGUGGAAAUUCUGAAACCUGAUGCAUUCUUAAUGAUUAAAGGACUGAGUCCCCUUGUUUAGAUAAAUAGAUGAGUGUGGGAGAGGGGAUCUGGUAUAUGUCUUAGGGGGCAUUCUUGAUUGGUCACAGUAGAGUAUAGGGUUAAUCAUCUACCUAUUUGUAGGUUGUCCAGAUGAAGUCCCCCUCAAGGGUUGAGAAAGUUAACCAGAUGGGGGAGGACAACAUGUGACUUGUUUGAAACCUAGGACAUGUGAUAUAACAGCGGGAAUGUGUUUCAUUGACAAGACAGAUGGGCAGCAACUUACCACACCCCUUUUCUAUGUACUAUAUAUUGUUAAAUGACCUGUAUCGAGUCAGAGACUCCUCGGACGAUUAUGUUUGUAAGCGGUUGAUGUGUCUCUCUUAUUUGCAAAUUAUUAAUAAACUGUUAAUUGUGCUGAGA
ensembl:lncRNA